rnacentral:rRNA from 1 species
ACGAACGCUGGCGGCGUGCCUAAUACAUGCCAGUAGAACGCUGAAGAGAGGAGCUUGCUCUUCUUGGAUGAGUUGCGAACGGGUGAGUAACGCGUAGGUAACCUGCCUUGUAGCGGGGGAUAACUAUUGGAAACGAUAGCUAAUACCGCAUAACAAUGGAUGACACAUGUCAUUUAUUUGAAAGGGGCAAUUGCUCCACUACAAGAUGGACCUGCGUUGUAUUAGCUAGUAGGUGAGGUAAUGGCUCACCUAGGCGACGAUACAUAGCCGACCUGAGAGGGUGGUCGGCCACACUGGGACUGAGACACGGCCCAGACUCCUGCGGGAGGCAGCAGUAGGGAAUCUUCGGCGAUGGGGGCAACCCUGACCGAGCAACGCCGCGUGAGUGAAGAAGGUUUUCGGAUCGUAAAGCUCUGUUGUAAGUCAAGAACGGGUGUGAGAGUGGAAAGUUCACACUGUGACGGUAGCUUACCAGAAAGGGACGGCUAACUACGUG